GACCGGUUGGCGCAAUGGUAGUACGUUUCUCUCCCAAUCUGACGAACAAUCCCACCAGUCAUACUAACAGCAACUUCUCCAGGCGUAUAGACCUCCUACUCAAACACCAUCCCAUUGGUUGUAGAGGUCAGUCUAGGGUUGCGGGUUCGAGUCCCGUGCUGGUCG